GUUUUUUGAAUAAGAGAUCUAAACACUGAAUCAUUUAAUUUAAAUAGUAGCACAACCAAUGAGUCAUUUAAAAAUGUGUUUUAAAAAUUAAAAUGAGACACUGAUAAUAUCUCUUUGUGGCUUUAAAAAUUCUACUUUAAAAAUUUUAAAUUCUACUUUAAAAAUUACACUAACUCAAAACAGUAAUCAGAAUUCUUUGUGAGAAUGGACACAUUUCCUUUUGAGCUUUAAGAAAUUCAUUUUCUGAAACUUUAAAUGUAGGGGGUAAAUUUGGACGUUUAGGUUCAUUUACCCAUCACUUCAGAUGUUCUGGGAAGAAAUAUCUAAUGAUUUUUCCAUGACAUCUACCC
rnacentral:lncRNA from 1 species